AUUGAACGCUGGCGGCAGGCCUAACACAUGCAAGUCGAACGGUAACAGGAAACAGCUUGCUGUUUCGCUGACGAGUGGCGGACGGGUGAGUAAUGUCUGGGAAACUGCCUGAUGGAGGGGGAUAACUACUGGAAACGGUAGCUAAUACCGCAUAACGUCGCAAGACCAAAGAGGGGGACCUUCGGGCCUCUUGCCAUCGGAUGUGCCCAGAUGGGAUUAGCUAGUAGGUGGGGUAACGGCUCACCUAGGCGACGAUCCCUAGCUGGUCUGAGAGGAUGACGAGCCACACUGGAACUGAGACACGGUCCAGACUCCUACGGGAGGCAGCAGUGGGGAAUAUUGCACAAUGGGCGCAAGCGUGAUGCAGCCAUGCCGCGUGUAUGAAGAAGGCCUUCGGGUUGUAAAGUACUUUCAGCGGGGAGGAAGGGAGUAAAGUUAAUACCUUUGCUCAUUGACGUUACCCGCAGAAGAAGCACCGGCUAACUCCGUGCCAGCAGCCGCCGUAA
rnacentral:rRNA from 1 species